rnacentral:rRNA from 1 species
ACGGGUGAGUAAUAUAUAGCUAAUCUGCCCCUUGCUGGAGGACAACAGUUAGAAAUGACUGCUAAUACUCCAUACUCCUUUUUACCAUAAGAUAAAUCGGGAAAGAAUUUCGGCAAGGGAUGAGACUAUAUCGUAUCAGCUAGUCGGUGGGGUAACGGCCUACCGAGGCUAUGACGCGUAACUGGUCUGAGAGGAUGAUCAGUCACAUUGGAACUGAGACACGGUCCAAACUCCUACGGGAGGCAGCGGUAGGGAAUAUUGCGCAAUGGGGGAAACCCUGACGCAGCAACGCCGCGUGGAGGAUGACACUUUUCGGAGCGUAAACUCCUUUUGUUAGGGAAGAAUAAUGACGGUACCUAACGAAUAAGCACCGGCUAACUCCGUGCCAGCAGCCGCGGUAAUACGGAGGGUGCAAGCGUUACUCGGAAUCACUGGGCGUAAAGGACGCGUAGGCGGAUUAUCAAGUCUCUUGUGAAAUCUAACGGCUUAACCGUUAAACUGCUUGGGAAACUGAUAAUCUAGAGUAAGGGAGAGGCAGAUGGAAUUCUUGGUGUAGGGGUAAAAUCCGUAGAUAUCAAGAAGAAUACCUAUUGCGAAGGCGAUCUGCUGGAACUUAACUGACGCUAAUGCGUGAAAGCGUGGGGAGCAAACAGGAUUAGAUACCCU